rnacentral:rRNA from 1 species
AGUUUGAUCCUCGGCUCAGACGAACGCUGGCGGCGUGCCUAACACAUGCAAGUCGUGCGAGAACGUUCCCUUCGGGGAGCUGUACAGCGCGCACGGGUGAGUAACACGUAGGUAACCUACCUCAUAGUCGGGAAUAACCCGGGGAAACUCGGGCUAAUGCCGGAUAAGACCACGGCUGCUUCGGCAGCUGAGGCUAAAGACGGCCUCUACACGUAAGCUGUCGCUAUGGGAUGGGCCUGCGGCCCAUUAGCUAGUUGGUAGGGUAACGGCCUACCAAGGCUUUGAUGGGUAGCUGGUCUGAGAGGAUGAUCAGCCACACUGGGACUGAGACACGGCCCAGACUCCUACGGGAGGCAGCAGUGGGGAAUAUUGCGCAAUGGGGGAAACCCUGACGCAGCGACGCCGCGUGGGUGAUGAAGGCCUUCGGGUCGUAAAGCCCUGUCGUAGGGGAAGAAUCGGUGGACGGAUAAUACCCGGCCGCCUUGACGGUACCCUACAAGAAAGCACCGGCUAACUCCGUG